GACGAACCGAGCGAACGUUAUUCGGAAUCACUGGGCUUAAAGGGCGCGUAGGCGGGCUCGCGAGUCAGGGGUGAAAGCCCCCAGCCCAACUGGGGAAGUGCCUUUGAUACUGCGAGCCUCGAGGGAGGUAGGGGCGUGCGGAACUUCCGGUGGAGCGGUGAAAUGCGUAGAUAUUCGGAAGAACACCAGUGGCGAAGGCGACUUACUGGACACAUAUUGACGCUGAGGUGCGAAAGCGUGGGGAGCAAACAGG
rnacentral:rRNA from 1 species